GGGGGUGUAGCUCAGUUGGGAGAGCGCCUGCCUUGCAAGCAGGAGGUCAACGGUUCGAUUCCGUUCAUCUCCACCA
rnacentral:tRNA from 1 species